CUUGGACUAUCAUUACAAAAUACUGUAUCAAAUGAAUUGCCGUAGUCAAUUCUUUUUUUCUUAACAUUUUAACAUCAUGAUAGAAUUACCCUUAUUCAAACAUGUGUUGCAAGUCAAUAAUAAUAAUGAGGAACAGAAAAGCGACUUAAAGUCGUAGGAAUGUCAUCAGGAUCCACCAUGGAAUCGUUAACGAGAAUGCACAGUAUCGAUGAUUAUGACGAUCAUGAAUGUUACUUGAAGAUCCUGUGACGUGAUUGGGAGCUGGCGAUGGACCACUCUUCCUGGUGUUGGCUGUGACGAAAUCACUCCUCCACUUCAUUGUAUACUGAGGUGGCGUUCUGCUCAGUGCUUGCAAUCUACAAAACAGUGAUAUACGCGAGAUGCACAAUGAGCAACUUGCCUUUGAAAACUAUCCAUUGUUUUUGUCAUGUGAUGGGAUAGACGUACGAUAGAAGAAGCUUACCUGACUACAGCAGUAUUCAUCUUCCAGUCGAGGGUAAAAUUUUUGUGCUGAUCUCGUGAACAGAAGGUGUACAGUUUCGGUCCCGCCGGGUCACCGUUCUUACUGUACUCGUGUAUCGUCAGAUUCCAUGCAGCACAUGGUCCUGCGUGAAAAACAUAAUGGAAGAUAUUGAAGCACGACUUGGAGCCUCCGAGGUGUGAGAGGGGAAAAGUUUGGUAUAAUCGUUAAGAGAAUGUAUAUAGCAUGUUAUAAUGGUUCCCUUUUUGAUAAUUCAUCGAAGGUGCAAAAGCGUGUGUUCAAAGAGGCGAAUGGCUUUGUCCAUUGAUUAAAAGGCGAACGCGGUUUCGCGUACGAGCUAUAAGGUACAACUUGAGAUUAAAGAGAUUUGGGUUUAACUAGACUAACAAAAACUACUAAAGCUUUGCUUCUACUCGACCCGACCAAGAAUCGACAGUAUACUCUGUUCACUGGCUGUCCUGCUACUGAGUUUCUACGUAAAUCAAAGUUCUGUAUAAAACUUCGUGAAUAACCGGAACAGGAAAUGGCUUUAAUACACUCUUCACGGUGACUUAUGAGAUUUUAUUUCAAGGACGUGUUUGUUUGUCGACCGAACCAUAAAGAUACAAUGGCCUAGAUCCUAGGCCAACCCGGUUUCUUAUAAUUAAUUAUAAUUGCUUCCGCUUCAACUGGUUCGUGUUUUCCUACGGCGGUU